rnacentral:rRNA from 1 species
GACGAACGCUGGCGGCGUGCUUAACACAUGCAAGUCGAACGGAAAGGCCCUGCUUGCAGGGUACUCGAGUGGCGAACGGGUGAGUAACACGUGGGUGAUCUGCCCUGCACUUCGGGAUAAGCCUGGGAAACUGGGUCUAAUACCGGAUAGGAGCCAUUUUUAGUGUGAUGGUUGGAAAGUUUUUUCGGUGUAGGAUGAGCUCGCGGCCUAUCAGCUUGUUGGUGGGGUAAUGGCCUACCAAGGCGGCGACGGGUAGCCGGCCUGAGAGGGUGGACGGCCACAUUGGGACUGAGAUACGGCCCAGACUCCUACGGGAGGCAGCAGUGGGGAAUAUUGCACAAUGGGCGCAAGCCUGAUGCAGCGACGCCGCGUGGGGGAUGACGGCCUUCGGGUUGUAAACUACUGUCGCUAGGGACGAAGCUUUUUGUGACGGUACCUAGAUAAGAAGCACCGGCUAACUACGU